rnacentral:rRNA from 1 species
GAUGAACGCUAGCGGGAGGCCUAACACAUGCAAGCCGAGCGGUAGAGUCUCUUCGGCGACUUGAGAGCGGCGCACGGGUGCGGAACACGUGUGCAACCUGCCUUUAUCUGGGGGAUAGCCUUUCGAAGGGAAGAUUAAUACCCCAUAAUAUACUGGAUGUGAUAAUCUGGUAUUGAAAAAUAAGGUGGAUAGAGAGGGGAACGCGCAAGAUUAGAUAGUUGGUGAGGUAACGGCUCACCAAGUCAGCGAUCUUUAGGGGGCCUGAGAGGGUGAUCCCCCACACUGGUACUGAGACACGGACCAGACUCCUACGGGAGGCAGCAGUCACUAAUAUUCUACCCUAUCUUACAUCCUCAUCCCACCAUCCCUCGUAAAUGACGACGGCCCUAUGGGUUGUAAACUUCUUUUGUAGAUAUAUAAACCUAUAUACCUAUAUCUAACUAAAUAUCCUCUACUAAUAAUCACCGGCUAACUCCCUG